rnacentral:rRNA from 1 species
GACGAACGCUGGCGGCGUGCUUAACACAUGCAAGUCGAACGCUGAAGCUCAGCUUUUGUUGGGUGGAUGAGUGUCGAACGGGUGAGUAACACGUGAGUAACCUGCCCCCUUCUUUGGGAUAACGCCCGGAAACGGGUGCUAAUACUGGAUAUUCACUGGUCUCCGCAUGGGGGUUGGUGGAAAGGGUUUUUCUGGUGGGGGAUGGGCUCGCGGCCUAUCAGCUUGUUGGUGGGGUGAUGGCCUACCAAGGCUUUGACGGGUAGCCGGCCCGAGAGGGUGACCGGUCACAUUGGGACUGAGAUACGGCCCAGACUCCUACGGGAGGCAGCAGUGGGGAAUAUUGCACAAUGGGCGCAAGCCUGAUGCAGCGACGCCGCGUGAGGGAUGGAGGCCUUCGGGUUGUGAACCUCUUUCGCUCAUGGUCAAGCCGCAACAAUGGUUGUGGUGAGGGUAGUGGGUAAAGAAGCGCCGGCUAACUACGUG